GCUGACACAUCCCUGCCAAUCUCCGGCAGACCCUCCCUCCCAGACCCUCCCACCUCCUGGACAGCAUCCAUGUUGAAGCUGCCUUCAACAUGGAUGCUGUCCAGGAGGUGGGAGGGUCUGGGAGGGAGGGUCUGCCGGAGAUUGGCAGGGAUGUGUCAG